CUUCCAGCAUGGAUUAGCUUUUCUAUCUAAUGAAUCUUGAAUUUUGUUUAAUGUGUAACGUUGCGAUUUAUGAUCUAAUUUUGUUUUAUUAUUGCUUAUUCAAUUUAUCAGUGUCGAUUUGAAUAUAACGUAAUAAUGGUGUUUAUUGUCCUGUUAAGGCGAUACCUGGCGUUUAUUGGAGUGAUCUACCAACAAACAUCUCAAUUCAUAACCAUUUGUUGUACUUAGAUGGUAAGGGUGUUUUUAUUGGUAAUCGUAAUAACGGUAAUUACUGACUAUGGCGUGUUCUUGAAAAACCAUUUUCGGUAUUAUUGUGAACAUCAUCGUCAACAUCAUCGCCAUCAUAAACCAUCACUCUCAUCGUAAUAGAGUCUCUUGAUCAUCUUUUACUUGCGAAGGUGUCUUCUACUUUCAUAAUUUUUUGAAACUAAAUUAAGGUCGAGGAGAAAUAAACAAACCAAACAAGCUGACACUCAUACGAAGAGAGUGAAAGUUAAUUACGAAGGUCAAUUUCAGGCAAAAUUGUCUAUAAAUUGUAAUGAUGAAAAUCCAUUCCCAUCCAAUUCAGUGGCCUGGAAUAACCUGAUUGUCCUAGCUAAUUAGCUCAACUUUCAUUGAGAAGACCAUUUUAAACAACAAAGGUUUUAAUGAUUAAUUGCUGCCCAUGAGUAAAAAUCCCCGCUUUACCCGUUUAACCGUUAUUUUAUUAACAAUCCAAGUAAUCAGCCAAUGAUUUAUUUGCUGUUUAAAUGCAAACUAAUCAGUUUGCUAUCAACAUUUCAAGCAUUUUUUCACCCAACUUAUCUUAAUCAUCAUUAACAAAUCAAGCACAUAUUCAUCAAAAUGUUAAAGCCCAAGUCAAACUGAAUUUACUGAUCAUUCAACAAUCUCUAGUCAAGGUUAAUUGGUUUGAUUAAUCAACAGUAUAUUUAUAAUAUAAUAACUGUAAUACAUUUUGAUCUGGAUGUGAUUCACUGACAACUUCAAUUAUGUUACCUUUACACAAACUGAGCAAAUUGAAUCUGUAAAUUCUUGGGGAGGUUUUCAAUUCGUUCAUUUAACUGCAAGUAAUCAAGAGUUAAUAACAGACCCAAAGAAACGCUAAAUUCAAGAGUAAAAGAGUUUAGUUUGCUAACAAUCGUACCUAUUAACAGCAAUAUAAUCAGUAUUAUUAGCAGCACAAGUAAAAUUAUUUAAAAGCCCAUUUGCUUAAAGGAAGUUAAAAUUUGAUGGUCAAUCAAAUGAUUAUCAAGGUUAUCAAUUACCGUUACAUUGAAAAAUGAGAAUACCAAGCAUUUCAUUGGAUUACCCUGCAAUUGGAUCAACAACCAACCAGACUUGAUGUCAUUUCGAUCAACAAUUUCGACUGUUUCUGGUACAAAUAUCACAUCUGGAUCACUUGUGACUAAAUGCUAAAUUGUAAACGAACUGUGAACUCAAAUCAUGUCCUGGUUAUCAACAGUAAUUGAUAAUUGGAUAACUCAACAAUCGAUAAAUCGAUCAGGGCCGAGAAGUGUUUGAUAUUUACAAAGCUUAAACUAAAAUUGAAAAUUGGUUGAAAUCGUUUGGAAGUUGAAUUUCAAUUCUACAGAGCAACAGAGUUCUACAGCUCCAAUUAGCUGAUAUUAUUCAGGAAUCUACAAAAUUCGAGAUCAUCAUUCAUCCCUUUUUGUUUGUAUUAUAAUAUUAAUAGUUUAGUGAUUGUUAUUUUCCUUAAAAUAGUGCUUUCAAUCUGGUCAAUUAAUUGUUUCAAUUUGAUUUGAAUACACCCAAGUUGUCACAAAAAUUUGCUCAGAAAAGGUACAAAAUUUAAGGAGCGAAUUUAACUUUCCCUGAGUAAAUUUCCCGGAAGAAUGUUAGUGAUUACUGUAAAUUGGGUUAAUUUUUUGUUUUGGUUAAUCAUUGUAUGAUAUUGUAAAAUAGAUUAUUCAAUGUUUGAUCGAUUGUCAAAUUAAACUAACCAAUCGAUUAGGAUGGAUUAGACUCAAAGUUAACCAGAAAAUAAGUUCACCUUUCCAAUACCUUACAAAAUUAUUCAGCAACAAUCAAUUUUGCUCAAUUUAGUUUACCUUUGACACGUAAAUAUCAAACAAUAACAAAUUAGAUUUUUUUACAAAACAUUUGCCUGUUUCAGGAUCAAAAUCUAGCUUAAUUGACGAUCAGAUUUGUCUUUUUAAUAUCUCUAAUCAUACCCAUUAGACUCAUCAGUAGUCAAGUUUCACUUUAAAUCGUAAUUAAACCCAUUGUUUCAGAAAUCUGAUUGAAGAUUAAUCAAAUGUUCAACUCAAUUUAUUAAAUAAUAAUCAUAGUUAAACAUCAGAUGAAACUGUCAGUUAGCUCAACUACAGCCUACACAUAGUAGAUGUGAACAGCUUUUUGUAAAAAUAUUACCCGAACCCAAAUUAUGCAAAAUGGAGAAGAAGAAGAAAAAAGCAAGCAAAUUACAAUUAAAAAUGAUCAAUAUCAAGUCAUCACAGGAAACUCACCUUCAUUUAACUCUGUAGGAAGCAAUAAAUAAUCAUUUACAAUCUGGUUAAAUAGUGAUUAAAAUUUUGUAAACUUGUGUUCAGUUAAUCAACCAGAUUGAAAUACGCUAACUAUCCUUUCAAUCCUUACUGACAUGAUCUCAAAUCAACAACAAUUAACAAGAAGUCCUCCUUGUUUCCUACUUACAAUAGACUUUAAAUGUUCACCUUUUUACUGAUUAAUAUUAGCUCAUUUCAACUGCUCAUCAACAUGUUUCUAAUGAGAAAUUUAAUCAACAACCAAAAGAUUAACUUUAUUAUUCCUUCAUUAUUUCCUAUUUAGCUUGUUAACAAAGCUCUCAGUGUAAGCAACACUAAUAACAAGACUUAAACAAGCAAUUUAGUCAAUUUGAGUGGAUCGAUUGACUAAUUGUUUGUAAGAUUAAAUUUUCUCCUUCCAUUGAUCACUUGUUAAUGUUUUUGUUUUAAAACAUUGCUAUUAAAUAAACCCUUCAUUUCUCAUCA